CGGGGAAUCAGGGUUCGAUUCCGGAGAGGGAGCCUUAAAAACGGCUACCACAUCUAAGGAAGGCAGCAGGCACGCAAAUUACCCAAUGACCGAAGGUCGAGGUAGUGACGAAAAAUAACGAUAGAGGACUCAUCCGAGGCCCUCUAAUUGGAAUGAGUACACUUUAAAACCGUCCCCGAGGAUCUAUUGGAGGGCAAGUCUGGUGCCAGCAGCCGCGGUAAUUCCAGCUCCAAUAGCGUAUAUUAAAGUUGUUGUGGUUAAAAAGCUCGUAGUUGGAUCUCAACAGCCUUGAAGCGGUUAACUUUGUAGUUUUACUGCUUUAUAGGCUGUGCUUUUGCUGGAGGUUUAGGGGUGCUCUUGAUCGAGUGUCUCUGGAUGCCAGCAGGUUUACUUUGAAAAAAUUAGAGUGCUCAAAGCAGGCUAAAAUGCCUGAAUAUUCGUGCAUGGAAUAAUAGAAUAGGAUGUCGAUCCUAUUUUGUUGAUUUUCGGGACUCGACAUAAUGAUAAAUAGGGACAGUCGGGGGCAUUUGUAUUCAAACGACAGAGGUGAAAUUCUUGGACCGUUUGAAGACAAACUACUGCGAAAGCAUUUGCCAAGAAUGUUUUCAUUAAUCAAGAACGAAAGUUAGAGGUUCGAAGGCGAUUAGAUACCGCCCUAGUUCUAACCAUAAACGAUGCCAGCUAGCGAUCUGCCUGCGUUUUUACUGUAGACUAGGCAGGAAGCUUCCGGGAAACCAAAGCAUUUGGGUUCCAGGGGAAGUAUGGUUGCAAAGCUGAAACUUAAAGGAAUUGACGGAAGGGCACCACCAGGAGUGGAGCCUGUGGCUUAAUUUGACUCAACACGGGAAAUCUCACCAGGCCCGGACACUGGAAGGAUUGACAGAUUGAUAGCUCUUUCUUGGUUCGGUGGGUGAUGGUGCAUGGCCGUUCUUAGUUGGUGGAGUGAUUUGUCUUGUUAAUUCCGAUAACGAACGAGACUCUGUCCUGCUAAAUAGUGUCUGCUUCUCUUUUGAGCAGACAAUUCUUCUUAGAGGGACUGGCGACUCUUAGUCGCACGAGAUUGAGCAAUAACAGGUCUGUGAUGCCCUUAGAUGUUCUGGGCCGCACACGCGCUACACUGAAUAGAUCAGCGUGUUCUCCCUUUCCGAGAGGAACGGGUAAACCGCUGAACCCUAUUCGUGGUAGGGAUCGGGGCUUGCAAUUAUUCCCCGUGAACCAGGAAUUCCCAGUAGGCGCAAGUCAUAAGCUUGCGUCGAUUACGUCCCUGCCCUUUGUACACACCGCCCGUCGCUACUACCGAUUGAACGUUUUAGUGAGGUCCUCGGACUGUUUGCCUGGCGGAUUACUCUG
rnacentral:rRNA from 1 species